rnacentral:misc_RNA from 1 species
GUGAGUCAUCGAAUCUUUGAACGCACAUUGCGCCCCUUGGUAUUCCGAGGGGCAUGCCUGUUCGAGCGUCAUUUCACCAAUCGAGCCCCGCUCGGUAUUGGGCCUCGUCCUUCACCGGACGGGCCUCGAAGCCCCCGGCCGUUGGGUCCCGCUUCAGGCGUAGCAGAGCUUUUGCAGCCUCGCCUUGGAAGCCGGUGGCCGCGACGCGCCGCGCAAACGAAACUUUGACAUCAAGGUUGACCUCGGAUCAGGUAGGGAUACCCGCUGAACUUAAGCAUAUCAAUAAGCGGAGGA